rnacentral:lncRNA from 1 species
GGUAAAAUUGGUGUAUCAGGUCGGCCAUCAGAGCUUGCACUAUCCAUAUUCUAUUGCAUUAUCUGUUAUACAUAAAAUAGAGAGCAUCCUAGAAUAAUAUGCAUAGCACAAAAAUUGACAUUAAAUAGAAGUGAGAGAAGAGAAAAUAAAUAUAAUACAACUACACCCUUUUGAAAGAGUCUGGAUAGCUACCUAUAAGAAGAGCAAUGGAGUUUUUGCCAAUGAUGAAGCAAGGGAAAUAAGUGUAAGUUU